GAAAGACAGAGGCAAAUUGUGGUAUUGAGAAAGGGAAAACGCUCUCCCCGUGGGAUUCCACCUUAAGUGCUAUUGAGAAACAGGGAGCUGUCAAAGGUGUCCUAAGCAAUGAGCUGUAAACUGCAGCCCCUGAGAAAAUCUCCGCUCGGGGAGCGAUUACUGCUGGCGUUCAUAGUGUCAGCAGCGCUGGGACAUCAGCCGUGCCCGCUUUGUCUCCAGUAUCUCACUGUGCUGCAAUGGGCCUCUUCGUGAUUGUCAAAGUUUCCCAUCAGUGCUACGAAACAUGUCAUCAGCAUCAAGGAUAAUAUUUCUACACAAUAUCAGCCCUCCAGUUUUCACUAGAGAUAAAGCACUAUACUGUAGAAUGCCCACAGGGCUAGUCGGUUAUUUUGCCUAAGUCAAUAUGCCUUUGUAUUCUGGAAAUAUUAAAGAGAAGAGAACCUAGUGGUUGAUUUAUGCUGGAAUCAUUUCUCACUGUUUUAAUCUCCUUUUUUGCCAUAUGGCUAUAUUUACUGUAAAAUAAUAAAUUAGUGACUGCAAUAUGUCUUGGAGGGCCACAGUGGCUACAGGUUUCCUUUCAACAAGCUUCCUAAUUAGAAGGCAGUCCUUGCUGAUAAUGAAACUUGGUAUUUAAUUAUAUGGUUCUUUAGUGCUUUCAUUCUGCCAAGACAAAUUUUCUUUAUAUUGUAAAUUUUACUUUUCUGAGGGCAUUGUCCAUAUGUUUUGUGGACUGGAACAGCUUUGUACUUCUUAGCCCUUCUUUAUUUCUCUUAUGUAUACCUACACAUUUUAUUAACAAAGAUACUUCAUGAUGCAUAUAAACUGCUGUAAAUGGGACCAAGUUAGCUAGAGAGCUGCUGGAUAACAAAAUAGGAAACAAGUAAAACCCAAAUGCAUCUAUUUAAAACUAAAAUAAGUAAUUAACGGUUCUGAAUUGCAACAAGUGAAUUAACUAAAAUUAAACCCUCAAAAAGUAUAUUGCUUUUAUCAGCAAAUAAAUGCUGUCUAAUUAAGAAAUUGAUUAAAGCAAAAAACUGACUGUAUGCUAUUUUAAGU